rnacentral:rRNA from 1 species
UACGUAGGGGGCGAGCGUUGUCCGGAUUUAUUGGGCGUAAAGAGCGUGUAGGCGGCCAUGCAGGUCAGCUGUGAAAACUCGAGGCUCAACCUCGAGACGUCGGUUGAAACCGUAUGGCUAGAGUCCGGAAGAGGAGAGUGGAAUUCCCGGUGUAGCGGUGAAAUGCGCAGAUAUCGGGAAGAACACCUAUGGCGAAGGCAGCUCUCUGGGACGGUACUGACGCUGAGACGCGAAAGCGUGGGGAGCAAACAGG